ACCUGACUUGAACACCGUUCAGACUCUACGAGACAGCAGUAGGAUCUCGCAUGACGAAGUCUGACGAGCACCCGCUGAUAUGAGGCUUCAGAUCGUAACUCGUUGUUAGAGAUCAAGUGCUAGUGGAUAAGCUGGCACUUGACGUACCUUAUCAGAAAGCACGCUACUACGUGCCAGCAGCGCCGUAUACGUAAGUUGCCAGCGUAUCCGGAAUAUUGGGCGUAAGCGGCGCGGCAGGUGGUUUCUUAAGUCUGAUGUGAAAGCCCACGGCUUCAUCGUGGAGGGGUCAUUGGAAACUUGGAGGACUGAAGUGCAGGAAGAAGGAAAGUUGGAUUUCCAUGGUUAGCCGGUGAAAUGCGUAGGAAUUAUGAAGGACCACCCAUGGCGAGGCGACUUUUCUGUUCUUUACUGACCACGGAGCCGGAAAGCCGUGGGAACCAACCAGGAUUGGAUACCUUGUUAGUCCACGCGUUAACGAAUGAUUGUUAGUUUUGGAGGGUUUCGGCCUUUUGUUGUGAAAGUUACGCCAUUAACCAUUCCCCUGGGGAAGUCCGGCCCCAAGGUGGAACCUAAAAGGAAUGACCGGGGGCCCCCCCAACGGUUGAGCCAUGGGGUUUAAUUGAAGCCACCGGGAGGACCCUUCCCGGUUCUGGACUUCUUUGGACACCCUUGGAAUUGGGCUUCUUCUUUGGGAACCGGAGUACCAGUGGGGCCAGGUUUUUCUCCAGUUGGGUUCGGGGAAUGUGGGGUUAAUUCCCCCACGGACCCCAACCCUGGUUCUUAUUGGCCUCCAUUAAUUGGGCCCUUUUAGGGGGCCUCCCGGGGCCAACCCGGGGGAGGGGGGGGAGGCGUCCAAUCCUCCAUCCCCCUUAGGCCUGGGGUUCCCCCCGUGUUCCAAGGGCCGUUCCAAGGACCGCCAGGCCCCGGGGGGGGAGUUAUUUUCUUAAACCCUUUUCCAUUUGGGUUGUUGGGUGCCACUUCCCUUCCAGGAACCGGGAUUCCUUGUUAUUCGGGGUCCACCAUCCCCCGGGGAUUCCUUUCCCGGCCCUGUUCCCCCCCGCCCGCCCCCCCCGGGGAGUUGGUACCCCCGAAAGCGGGGGGGGAACCCUUUUGGAGCCAGCCGCCA
rnacentral:rRNA from 1 species